GGGGAUGAUAUGAAUCUGGCUGCAGUACCAGUCACCACAUUGAUGGCCCGAAUUGAUUCCAUUGACCUGGCAGACUGGACUGGUGUUUCCUUAUUUUCUCAUGUGCAGUUUUCCUAAAGUUGUAUAUUCAGGAAGAAAAACUUAAUUUCCUGGACUAUUCUGGACAUAUGAUUCAG
rnacentral:snRNA from 1 species